rnacentral:rRNA from 1 species
GACGAACGCUGGCGGCGUGCUUAACACAUGCAAGUCGAACGGAAAGGCCCUGCUUUUGUGGGGUGCUCGAGUGGCGAACGGGUGAGUAACACGUGAGUAACCUGCCCUUGACUUUGGGAUAACUUCAGGAAACUGGGGCUAAUACCGGAUAGGAGCUCCUGCUGCAUGGUGGGGGUUGGAAAGUUUCGGCGGUUGGGGAUGGACUCGCGGCUUAUCAGCUUGUUGGUGGGGUAGUGGCUUACCAAGGCUUUGACGGGUAGCCGGCCUGAGAGGGUGACCGGCCACAUUGGGACUGAGAUACGGCCGAGACUCCUACGGGAGGGAGCAGUGGGGUAUAUUGCACAAUGGGCGGAAGCCAGAUGCAGCAACGCCGCGUGCGGGAUGACGGCCUUCGGGUUGUAAACCGCUUUCGCCUGUGACGAAGCGUGAGUGACGGUAAUGGGUAAAGAAGCACCGGCUAACUACGUG